UGGCUGUCAGCAACACUACACUCCCAAGAUUUCCCUGUGCUGUGCUCUAAGGGAAUGCACCAGAACUCCAGAGCCCCUGGAAUUCUGGCUCACUUGAAAUUGUGCUCUAGCCUAUUAUAUACAUAUAUAUAUAUUUUUUUUUUUUUCACACAUACAACCAUUUGUUUGCAGUCUGGAAAUCUAAAACCACUCAAGAAAUGGAGGACAAAGUAUUGGUGAGGAACUUCUAAUCCACAUUCAAUAUCUCACAAUGUGUGUGGUAAGCAACGUUAAAGCCCAUCAGGAUGUGGGCAGUGUUGUGCUUCCACACUGGACUACCCCCUCAGUUUGGCAUGCAGAGCCCGGCGGGGCUGGGUGGCUGGAAGGAGGUGGGGGUGCUACUGGGGUGUGGACGAUGUUCUAGUUCUAGAUGUGGAUGCUGCUUUCAACGUGCCUUCCCACGGUGAGAAUUCACUGAGAAUUGGACUACCCUUACUGCCUUCAAAGCUAACAACUUGAUCCAAAUCCACCAUCUUGCUCAGAUUAUCCCAACUGGUCUCACAGCAUCUGCCCUUGCCAUCAAGAGGAAACAGUAGCCAGAGCUGUCUCACAGGUUCUACUACGUCAACACCCUGCAAUGAGACCCCAUUUCAUUCACAGAAAGAGCUAAAUGUAUGUUUGUUUGUUUUUUAAUUUGUUGAGGUUUGUGUUAUGGCCCAGGAUCUGGUUUAUCUUGGUAAAUAUCCAUAGGUAUGUGAAAACAUUGUGUGUCCUGCUGCUACAAGGUAGAGUGUUCAUAUAUAGAACACUCUGUAUAUUCUGUUGGUUGAUAUGUUGUUUGCUCAGAUUUUCUACAUCCUUGCUGAAUUUCUGUCUAGUAGUUCUUUCAGUUGCUGAGGUCCCAACUAUAAUUGUGAAUUCGCUUAUUUUUCUUCUUGCUUCAGCUUUUGCUUCCUGUUGUUUGGUCCAUACCCAUUUAGGAUGGUUAUGUCUUUCUGGUGGAUUGACUCCUUUUGAAUUUAAGCCCUUUCUAUUUCAGAUAUUUAUUGUUAGUUUUAUAGUUAGUUUCAGAUAAUUACUGUUAGAUAAAGUACUGCCGCUUAUUAUUUGUUUUCUGUUUGCUAUUGGAUUUUUCAGUUAAGUAAUUUCCAUUUGGCUUAUUUUAUGACUUCUAUCAUUUUGCUGAGAUUUUUUUUCAAUUGUUUUAAGAUAAUUUGUAAUUGUUUGUUGAGUGGGAAAAAUUAGAGAGGGAGACAAAUUAUGAGAGACUCCUAACUUUGGGAA